AGCUGAGUGGCUCAGUGUAUUGAGAGCCAGGCCUAGAAACUGGAGAUCCUAGGUUCAAACCUGGCCUCAGCCA
rnacentral:tRNA from 1 species